CAGGUAGCCGUAGGGUUUAACAUCGGCCCGUAGAGUUUGAUCGGGGUUCCGGUAAGUCGUCGGAGGGGUGCCGAAAGCCUAGGAAUCUGCCUGGUAGUGGGGGACAACGUUCCGAAAGGAGCGCUAAUACCGCAUACGUCCUACGGGAGAAAGUGGGGGAUCUUCGGACCUCACGCUAUCAGAUGAGCCUAGGUCGGAUUAGCUAGUAGGUGGGGUAAUGGCUCACCUAGGCGACGAUCCGUAACUGGUCUGAGAGGAUGAUCAGUCACACUGGAACUGAGACACGGUCCAGACUCCUACGGGAGGCAGCAGUGGGGAAUAUUGGACAAUGGGCGAAAGCCUGAUCCAGCCAUGCCGCGUGUGUGAAGAAGGUCUUCGGAUUGUAAAGCACUUUAAGUUGGGAGGAAGGGCAGUAAGUUAAUACCUUGCUGUUUUGACGUUACCAACAGAAUAAGCACCGGCUAACUUCGUGCCAGCAGCCGCGGUAAUACGAAGGGUGCAAGCGUUAAUCGGAAUUACUGGGCGUAAAGCGCGCGUAGGUGGUUUGGUAAGAUGGAUGUGAAAUCCCCGGGCUCAACCUGGGAACUGCAUCCAUAACUGCCUGACUAGAGUACGGUAGAGGGUGGUGGAAUUUCCUGUGUAGCGGUGAAAUGCGUAGAUAUAGGAAGGAACAC
rnacentral:rRNA from 1 species